rnacentral:rRNA from 1 species
CAAUAGCGUAUAUUUAAGUUGUUGCAGUUAAAAAGCUCGUAGUUGGAUUUCGGUUAAGAGCGACCGGUCCGCCGUUUGGUGUGCACUGGUUGGUUUUAACUUCCUGUAGAGGACGUGCUCUGGGUUUAACGACCUGGACUCGGAGUCUACGUGGUUACUUUGAAAAAAUUAGAGUGUUCAAAGCGGGCCUACGCUUGAAUAUUUCAGCAUGGAAUAACACUAUAGGACUCCUGUCCUAUUUCGUUGGUCUCGGGACGGGAGUAAUGAUUAAGAGGAACAGUUGGGGGCAUUCGUAUUUCAUUGUCAGAGGUGAAAUUCUUGGAUUUAUGAAAGACGAACUUCUGCGAAAGCAUUUGCCAAGGAUGUUUUCAUUA